CCCUGGUGGCUCAGAUGGUAAAGAAUCUGCCUCCAAUGCAGGAGACCUGGGUUCGAUCCCUGGAUCAGGAA
rnacentral:tRNA from 1 species